GAAUCUUGGACAAUGGGGGCAACCCUGAUCCAGCCAUGCCGCGUGAGUGAAGAAGGCCCUAGGGUCGUAAAGCUCUUUCGCCGGGGAAGAUAAUGACUGUACCCGGUAAAGAAACCCCGGCUAACUCCGUGCCAGCAGCCGCGGUAAUACGGAGGGGGUUAGCGUUGUUCGGACUUACUGGGCGUAAAGGGCACGUAGGCGGAUCUGCAAGUUGGGGGUGAAAUCCCGGGGCUCAACCCCGGAAUUGCCCUCAAGACUGCGGGUCUCGAGUUCGAGAGAGGUGAGUGGAAUUCCGAGUGUAGAGGUGAAAUUCGUAGAUAUUCGGAGGAACACCAGUGGCGAAGGCGGCUCACUGGCUCGAUACUGACGCUGAGGUGCGAAAGCGUGGGGAGCAAACAG
rnacentral:rRNA from 1 species